rnacentral:rRNA from 1 species
UACGUAGGGGGCGAGCGUUGUCCGGAUUCAUUGGGCGUAAAGAGCUCGUAGGCGGCUUGGCAAGUCGGGUGUGAAGCCUCCAGGCUCAACCUGGAGACGCCACUCGAUACUGCCAUGGCUUGAGUCUGGUAGGGGAUCACGGAAUUCCUGGUGUAGCGGUGAAAUGCGCAGAUAUCAGGAGGAACACCGGUGGCGAAGGCGGGUCUCUGGGCAACAACUGACGCUGAGGAGCGAAAGCGUGGGGAGCGAACAGG